rnacentral:rRNA from 1 species
GGCUGCAACUCGCCUAUAUGAAGUUGGAAUUGCUAGUAAUCGCGGAUCAGCAUGCCGCGGUGAAUACGUUCCCGGGCCUUGUACACACCGCCCGUCACACCAUGAGAGCCGGUAAUACCCGAAGUCAGUAUCCUAACCGCAAGGGGGGAGCUGCCGAAGGUAGGAUUGGCGAUUGGGGUGAAGUCGUAACAAGGUAAC